CAAUGCAGAAGACAGGGGUAUAAAAUAACAGGGAAAGAAAACCACUUUUAAAAGUUAGAAGUAGGACGUAUAAGUCCCUUCAACCAGUUAUUCUCCAUCUCCAGUUCACGAACACGAGUUUCUAAAAUGGCGACUUUCUCAGUCAACUCUUUAGCAGUGCGUUCCAACUGUUGUUCUUUAAGCUUCUUCUUGAUGCGAAAACGAGCGCUAGCAGCGGUAUUUCGACGACGUUUAUCUUCCUCAGCAGCAGUACGGAUGGCAGAAGUAGCUUUGGUGCGUUUACUGUUAGCAUUGGGAGACUGAGCACCCUUAUAAGAAGAAAGACUAGGGGAAGAUACAGAUGCUAAAUCAGGACUGGCAAAAGUGGAAAGGGGAUUGGUAAAUGCGUUUUGAUCAGCAAAUGAAGAAACGGGAGCUUGUAAAGGGGUAUUGUUAAUAGAGCUGCUAGCUUCAGAAGUCGGGAUAGCAGUCUGUCCAACCAAAACUUGAUGUUGUCUUGCAGAUUGAUCAGGUAGUAACUUGGAGGAAGCUGAACCUUGGAGAAUUGAGGAAGAAGAAACAUUAUCCUUGGAGGCUGAAGCAACAGAAGACUUUUGCUCAAAGAGCUCUCGUUGAGACGAAGUUUUUUCUUGAGUUUCCUUUGAAUGAUCAGGUAGGGUUAGGAGUUUCUGCAAGUCGAGAUAAGCAAGAUCAAUUGAAGCAGGAUUAGCAGAAGAAAAAUUUCCAGUUGCAUUCAAAGGGGCAGAAAAGGUAUUGCUAACUUCUUCCUCUUUAACUUGCUGCAAAGUCGAAAUUUUUUCGGGAUUCUGUUGCUGCACGUUCUUUUCCUGCUUAUUGGAAUUGGAAGAACCUGAAGGUUGAGAAACAAAUCCAUAAUAGCCUUCUGAAAGCAUACUAGAAGGCUCUAAAUCUAAAAAGUAUGGAUUUGUGAAUACAUUUAAUUGCUCUGCGAGAUCAUCCUUUGAAAAAUCGUCAGAGACAGGAACAUCAUCGAACUUAAGAUUCAAGUGAUUGAUAGCGCUAUUAGGAGUAAAAUCCAUUUGUCAAAAGCUUUAUCUUGAGACUCUUGGUCUCUUAAAAUUAACUGAAAAUCAAUUGUUAGCAUGGAAUUUCGCUAAAAAACUGAACUCUCCAACAAUAAGCUUACCUAAGACUUAACGGCAAAAUUAUCGUUACUAAUCAAAUUAUAUCUCACAAAGGUAAAAAAAACACACUCAACCGUUCGCAAUAAACGAGCUAAACCACCAAAUUUAGUGACUCGAUGAAUGGCGACGCUACGUUGGUAAUCGUAGAAAAUUUGAUGACUGAGCCAGCACGUCUGCGAUCGGGAUCAUGCAGCGUUGAGAUAAUAAU